CCUCUUCUUAGGAAGAAUAUUGGUGGCUCACAACUCUUGGGAAAAGUUGAAAUUCCAUGGAGAAGAGUAUUUGAGUCAACAAGAAUGGAGAUAGAGGAGUGGGCAAUAUUCAUGACUACUUCAAAGAAUAUUAAUGAAGAUGUGAAACCUCCAGCAGUGAAGAUAGGAAUGAAGGUUAAAGUAAAUGAGACAAUUAAUAAAAUUAAUAAGUUGAGAAGAUCAUCAUGGGAUGAGUCAUGUAAUUGCAAGGGUUACUGUGAGUGCAAUAGUAGUAUUUUUAGUCUUGAUGAUUAUGAUAUAUUUGCACUUGGAGUUGCUUUAGAUUCCCUUUAAUUCAAGGCCAAAAAUGGACAAAGCACUAAGCUAUGUCCUCUCUAGGAUUAGAUUAAUUCUUGAUUAAUGAAUUAAUUACGAUUCUUGUAUGUAGUUUUGAGAAAUUAAAUUUCAUGGUUUUGAUAGAAUACAAAGAUCUUUAUAUUUUCAGACAAUUUGUAUUCAUGAUUGUACUUCAUUUCCCUUAGUGUGAAUCUUUGACUUCUCUUUUUCAAUUUCAGCAACAAACCCAAGAAAAAGAGUACUUUGGAAGGCAGUUGUCGCGAUUCAAAAGUCGAGAUGAUGAUAAAACACAUUCUAAGAAUUCAAUUUGGUGUGUUUGUAAAAAAAAAAUAACAUAUGAGAGUUUCAAAGAAAAGUCAGGUCACAAUCGAAAGAUAUGGAACACAACAAAGAAAUUAUCAAAAUUUGGCCGGUAUCGUAAGUAUAAAAAGCAUUUAAAACAUUUCUAAAAUUUAGAAUACAUUUCAAGUCUUCUAAAAGAAAUUAAAGAUUGUAAAUAAUAGAUGGAAACCAAUGGCAAUCCAAAAAGCAAAAUCUCACCACAACUCCGAAUUAGAAGAAAUAGCUAAUUUUGAUCAAUCACUACGAAGAUAACCCUGACUACGAUCUGCAUAAAAAAGAAUAACAAAAGUAGGAUUGAGUAAAAUCCACAUGCACCCAAUAGGUUAGACCUGCUAAGUAUAAGCAACUACUCAGGCUUAAGAAAUAAAUUAUGAAACACUUUCACCCGCACAAAAAGUCACAUUUCGGUACCGUUGCCGUCAAUUUUUAUAAUAACGGCAUGAAGUAAACACAUAUCAUAUAAUACUCAAAUUAACAAAUAAGCAAGUUACACAACACAACAAAAUUGAUCAAUGCGAUGCAACAAAAUGAUAAAAUGGUGUAAUGGAUUUAAGGUUGUCACACACCUUGUCGAGCUUUAGCUUCUAGACAAGGAACCAUGGGGGACUCACAGUCCAUAUACCAAUCUUGAAAUCUCAAUAUAUCUCACAACUUUCCACCUAACUCGUGGUCAAGGAUAAAUGUAGGAUAUCUUAUUUUUUAAUUAAUUUUUCAUGUUCGAUUGGUCAAAAUUUUUAAAAAUAUUAUAUCUAUGAAAUUAAACUUUUAGUAAAAGUAGAAAAAUAAAUUCCACAAAUGACAUUUCAUAACUUAAUUUUUUUCCCACCCUCCGACUCACCUCAUCUUCACAUCCAUUGAAGUAGGCCCUACCCCCAUAGUAUAUAUUUAAAUUAUAUAAAAAUACUUUUAAAAUAAUAUCUUUAAUUUUGCGUACAUAUAGACAGAAGAACAUAAAUAAAAAAUCCAUUGAAUUAUUUUCCUAAAAAAACGUAUUUCAAGAGAACAUUUCUUUCCUACCGAAAAGAUAUGGAGUAAAUUUGCAAUUAAUCCUUUAAUUUGAACAAAUAAUGAAUACAAGAUUAAAUUUAGGGAGGCGAAUAUAUGAAUAAUCUCACCAAGAAUAUUCAAAAGAGGAGAUCCAAUAUAGAGUUAUUUAAUCCAUUUAUCUAUAUAUUGGAGAAUUUUUUACCAAACUAAGUUACUAUUUAAACUAGAUCACCAAAAUAAUAUGUUUUUAAUUACAGAACUAGUAUAAACGUAAUUUUGAGUAACCUUUUAGGGCAUUUUUAUUUUAAAAAUUCAAAUGUACUCCGAAAUAACGUUUUAGGUGUAAUUUUUAGCAAUUGCCUCUUUACGAAGAAAAGACUAGCAACCAAAUAUUGAUCCUCCUAGCAUCAUUUCUACCUCAUUAUACCAGCCAGGACACAUUUGUAACUAAUAAGUCAUGCCAGAUGCAGGAUACAACCAAAUGCAGACACCAGCUCCAAAAACAUACUCCCGAGUAACGUUUUAGGUGUAAAACGUUAUUCAAGAGUAUGUUUACUCAUUUAACGUCGUCAGCUUUUGUCAGUUGAAUUUUUAAAAUAAAAAUACCCUAAAACCUUACUCAAAAAUAUGUUUAUACUAGUUUUGUAAAAAAAAUUUAAAACGUAUGUUUUGAUGAAUUAAUUUAAAUAAUGACUUAGUUUGGUCAAAACUUUCAAAAAUUUCCAUCCAUCAAUAUUGCCUUAGCAAAUAAUUUGCAUCCUAUUUUAUUAUAUUACUAGGGUUAACUAAGAAAAAAAGAUAUAAAUGCUUUUAAUUAUAAGUGCAUUAUAGCAGUGGUAAAAUCAAAAUUUUUAAACAAUGUGUUUGAUAUUUUACGUAUAUAUUUAUUUUGAAAACUAAUUUUUAACCUAUAUGCUUCGUAUAAUUUUCUCUAUUAGUUUUUUAGUGAAAGAUAUUCGACUUACCACUCUUUGCUAUAGGUGGCCUCUAUAUGUGGCUAUCAAAAGGGCCUUUUAAAAUAUAAUAUUAAGCUUUAUUCCUUGUAAGUUUUUGGGAAAAUGCAAAAGUACCCCUUUGACCUAUGCUUUAAAUUUCAGAGACACAUUUAUAUUAUACUAAGGUCCUAUUACCCCCUAACUUAUUUAUAAGUAAUUUUUUAUCCUUUUCGACCUACGUGACACUAGUUUGAAAAAAAAUAAGUUCAGGAGGGUAAUAGGACCUUAGUAUAGUAUAAGUGUGUCUUUGAGAUUUCGGACAUAGACUAAGGGAGUACUUGUGCAUUAUCCCUAAGGUUUUUAAAUUUUAUACUCUGAUCUUGACCCAAUCUAUAUUAUUCAAGUACAAGUAGUUGUGACUAACAUUUUUAUACUCUCUUGACCCUAAUUUAACAUGAGGAAAUGUAUCUCUUAGCCCAUUAGAACUCUUAAAGAAUGUGUCACAAAGAGAGUCUUUUUGACAAUCUUAUCAUGUAUCUAUUCCAUACAAUUAAAAGAUUUAUAGAACUCUUUCAUUGACCAAAUGACUUUAUAUUAUAAUGAAUAAAAGUCAUAUGUUAUAUGCAAUGCCAUAUUUUAAUAGCAGUUUGGAGAUUCAAAUCAACCCACUAAGCUCUUAGUUGACACAUCAACAUGCAUUCAACCUUAAUACUUAUCUCAAGAGUUGUUUCACACAUUUUUUUUAACCUUUCAAGAUAUUGAAGAGUUUUUUGUAAAUUUUUUACAAAGGCAAUCUUUUAUAUGAUCCUCAUAGGAUUCUCAUCAAAUCCUUUCAUAGAUUAUUAGCACUAAUCCUCAUUGGGUGGGUGGUUUUCUUUUUAACUUGUAUUUUAUAAAAAUAAAUAAAUAAAUAAUCCUAGUUAGCUAGCUACUUGCCACUUUCCUUCCACUGUCCAAAGUAAAUAACUAUUUUCUUAACUAUAAAUACCCCCACUAACUACAUGUUUCCCAUCACCAUAACAAACUCAACCAUCUCUCAAGAAAAUAAAACAACCCCAUCAAACAAAGAUUCUAAUUUAAUUAAUUUUUUCAUGGAGAAUACUCAUGAUUUUUCAUCUAUAAGUUGUGAAAUACAAAUCAUAAUAGCAAGAAACAUAGAACAAAUAAGUCCAUUAGGAAAAAACAACUUGUUUGUUAGAUGUUAUCUUCCAACAGGAAACAACAACCAAAGAGUUAAGCUAAACACUCAAGAGAUCUCAUCAAAAUCAAACUUGUUUUGGGAUGAAUCUUUCUCAUUGGAUUGCAUGGGAACUCAAGACUCCAUUAACAUGAUGAAGCAAGGAACAAUCAUAUUCGAGCUACGAUCAAGAAGAUAUGUUCCUCUUCUUAGGAAGAAUAUUGGUGGCUCACUACUCUUGGGAAAAGUUGAAAUUCCAUGGAGAAGAGUAUUUGAGUCAACAAGAAUGGAGAUAGAGGAGUGGGCAAUAUUCAUGACUACUUCAAAGAAUAUUAAUGAAGAUGUGAAACCUCCAGCAGUGAAGAUAGGAAUGAAAGUUAAAGUAAAUGAGACAAUUACAAAAAUUAAUAAGUUGAGAAGAUCAUUAUGGGAUGGGUCAUGUAAUUGCAGGGGUUAUUGUGAGUGCAAUAGUAGUAUUUUUAGUCUUGAUGAUUAUGAU
rnacentral:lncRNA from 1 species